rnacentral:rRNA from 1 species
GAUGAACGCUGGCGGCGUGCCUAAUACAUGCAAGUCGAGCGAACGGACGAGAAGCUUGCUUCUCUGAUGUUAGCGGCGGACGGGUGAGUAACACGUGGAUAACCUACCUAUAAGACUGGGAUAACUUCGGGAAACCGUAGCUAAUACCGGAUAAUAUUUUGAACCGCAUGGUUCAAAAGUGAAAGACGGUCUUGCUGUCACUUAUAGAUGGAUCCGCGCUGCAUUAGCUAGUUGGUAAGGUAACGGCUUACCAAGGCAACGAUGCAUAGCCGACCUGAGAGGGUGAUCGGCCACACUGGAACUGAGACACGGUCCAGACUCCUACGGGAGGCAGCAGUAGGGAAUCUUCCGCAAUGGGCGAAAGCCUGACGGAGCAACGCCGCGUGAGUGAUGAAGGUCUUCGGAUCGUAAAACUCUGUUAUUAAGGAAGAACAUAUGUGUAAGUAACUGCGCACAUCUUGACGGUACCUAAUCAGAAAGCCACGGCUAACUACGUG